rnacentral:rRNA from 1 species
AUACGGAGGAUCCGAGCGUUAUCCGGAUUUAUUGGGUUUAAAGGGUGCGCAGGCGGCCAUUUAAGUCAGCGGUUAAAUCGUGGGGCUCCACCCCAUUCUGCCGUUGAUACUGGGUGGCUUGAUUGCGGUCGAGGUUGGCGGAAUUCGUUGUGUAGCGGGGAAAUGCAUAGAUAUGACGAAGAACACCGAUUGCGUAGGCAGCUGACCAGACCGCAAAUGACGCUCAUGCACGAAAGUGCGGGGAUCGAACAGGAUUAGAUACCCUGGUAGUCCGCACAGUAAACGAUGAAUACUUGUUUUCGGCGAUAUAAUGUCGGAGGCAAAGCGAAAGCGAUAAGUAUUCCACCUGGGGAGUACGCCGGCAACGGUGAAACUCAAAUGAAUUGGCGGGG